rfam:Microgenomates (Levybacteria) bacterium GW2011_GWC1_40_19 TT87_C0015, whole genome shotgun sequence.
GGGCAAGUGGCGGAAUGGUAUACGCGGUAGUCUCAAAAACUACUGCUCGCUUGAGCGUGUGGGUUCGACUCCCUCCUUGCCCA